ensembl:lncRNA
CGCCGUCUUCCACUCCUAAGAAAAAGCGGCGUGCGCGCCGCCGACGCUCCAUUACACAAACACAAGUGAGUGACUAUAUCUUGGCACCUCAUGUUUUUUCUCCGGAGGUUAUGGAAACUGACACUACUUUUCCGGUUAAUGAGCCCGGCUAUACAGAGACUGUUUGCCCUGGAAAAGCUAGCCAUCAGGCUCAGCUAAGCUGCUGUGGGACUGCUAUCCAGGCCGGUUUGGAGACGGAGGUACAGCUGGUGCAGCCAAUUUCAGUGUCAGUCGGAGGGCCCGGGGAGCCCGUCCGGCCUCAUGUUUCGUUUGCUGGAGGUUCAGGAGAACCCAGCCAGCUUCAUGUUUCGUCUGCUGGAGGUUCAGGAGAACCCAGCCAGCCUCAUGUUUCGUCUGCUGGAGGUUCAGGAGAACCCAGCCAGCCUCAUGUUUCGUCUGCUGGAGGUUCAGGAAAACCCAGCCAGCCUCAUGUUUCGUCUGCUGGAGGUUCAGGAGAACCCAGCCAGCCUCAUGUUUCGUCUGCUGGAGGUUCAGGAGAACCCAGCCAGCC